UGGAUUUAUAGAUAAUGAUGACAGGUGGGGACUGCUACGUAUUGGGAAGACGGCUUCUUGCACCUUUCUUUAUUUUCUUAGGUUCUUAUAUUCUUCUCUCGCUUCAUACAGCCUCGCCCCAUAAUGCUUACUGAUCGCCUCGGGAGCUUCCGAUACAAUAUUACUAAGCAAAUACCAAACUGACCAUGACAUGAAUAUCGAUGUGAGCCACAGACGCAUUACUUGAGGUCUAGGUAAAAGGAAUCAUUCAGUUGAGGUCCUUGACACUUCACAGAGGACAAGGUCAGGGUAAAGGACAACAGUCGCUCCUGUGCACGCCUAAUAUAAAACACCCAUAUGUGUUGGGUGUCGAGGCAGUGCAGGUUGAGACAGGUACUUGAUUAUCUCUUGAAUUCAAUUGUCACAGGAUAAAACAACCGAAACAACCACGACUUGUAUUCAGAAGGCAGCACGGAAGCUAGUCAGCAGCCCACGUGAGAGUAACGAUUGGCAGGCAGGUCACUCAACCCACCACUCACACCGGGACACCUCCUCCCCCUCACUACUGCCACCACAAACCUCCAGUACUGCGCACCACGAGUCAGCCGCGACGACUUACAACAUGUUAUAUCGCGUGCCCCGUGCAGGUGUUGGUUAGGGAAGGAGUGUUAGGUAAUCCAGGCAGCUACCCACCACGAAUGACCAGGCCCGACCCCUGCAUAUGUACUGGGGCUGCCGUGAGGUGAUCAUUCGUCCAUCUUUAUGACUCAGCUUGCCACGUAUCAUGAUUAUAGGAAAUGAAUCUUUAGUAAUACACACCGGUAGCUUUCCGCGUAUCGCACUGCGCUGCAAGACGCUGGAACGUUUCAUCGUCACGGUCAACUAAUAAGAAACUCUACCGCUGAUUCGCCGCACUUGAUUCACUACGCUGAGACCGUUUCUUCAAAUCUUUCAGCGUCUUCACAACUUUCAGCAAGUUUUUGUGAAGGUUUUGGGGUUUUGAGGGGCGAUUUUCAAGUGCGUUCUUAAAUAUAAUCGUACUUUAACACUGAUUCCGUAUCCCCAAUGGGAAAACACCUGUAAGAACCCGAGUAAUAACCUUCGCUGCUUUUGAAAAUAUAUCUUAUGAGGGAGCAAAACGUUUCAAAAUACGGGCCGUGAGUCGCGACAAGUUGAACUAAUGCUCUGCAGACUCAGCGGAAUUCAGCACAGGAAUAGACACAACGUCGCUCCAGGAAUGUUCAACGUGUGGCACCUGACGGCGGCACUGUCGUCCUCCGGGUUAAUUAACAGUCAUGUGGGAGCGCGAGGGACGUCACGGCACACACGACGACCACCUGACACUUGCCGCGUCUCUGAAUGCCCUGCAAUAUCUCAGCAUUAUGAGAACUUACACUGACACUAAUUGCUGAUGAAGGCCGCGCGGCAGAGAAGUUACGAUGAGAACUGAGAAUAUAAAUACGUUUUCAUAAUACAUAUUCAUACCACAUGACUGUUUGUUGCCUAUGAUGAUGCUGAUGAAACAAACAAUCAGCAGAAAAAUCUCUGGAAAAUAUUACAGCAAGGAUGGAAGCUGGUGCAAGUAAAAUGUAUCAUACGAAAGUGGAUGGAUAAAUUGCGUAGUGAAUAAAUGAGUAAAUUCUUAAACUUUCAUACGGCCAAUGACUGCGUUUUCCUCUCACACUAAAGCAUAUUCUACUUGAUAAAGUCAUUAUUUGUCCAGUUCCGGCGAUGACAAACUCAUGCACACUAUGCUUCUGUCCCACACACCACAAGAUUUUGCUAAUUCACUACCACAUUGAGAACUUUAACUAUAUCGGCCUGAUUUUUACAUCUAUUUCAGAGUAGUAACAGUCUCACAUCCACGUGUUGGUGUCUCACUAACUCGGCUCUUAUCUCACAAUCACAAAGUCAUAUUUUCCAUCUUGACGAACUACCUACUCGUCUACAGCAUAACAUUUAACGUCUACGGUCUACAUUCCUCGGUGGCACACAGGUCAGAGCGUGGCUGCUCCUCACUUGCUCCUAUUCCUUCCACCUCGAGUAGCAGUGGCCGUGCGGAUAUGUGUAGACAGGCACGCAUAAUUGUCUGGAAGAAUGCAGCGGCUCUCCACCAAUGCUCAGUUUCAGACCAGCACAAGACUGCAGUCCCUCUUAACAUGCUUGGGUCACAACAGGCAAAGGUAUCACCAUCUCCUACGGACCUCCCUUGACGUCACACACGGACCCUUGGGUGGUGGUUCAACGCACUGUGACGUGUGAAUUCCUACCAGGCCAGAUGAAGGGAGACUCGGAGAGGCAUCACUCAACCCUUAUAUAUUAUUCAAGCUGCCAGUUCGGUCACCAGGUUCAAGCCGAUUGUUACUCCAAUAUGCAGCCACGUGACAUGAGUCGAUACCACCGCCCGCUGAGACACAAUGUACACACUACACUACUAAUACGUCCAACUCGAGCUGACAAAAGUCUCUACUCUUUUUAUGGGCCUGACACAACAGUCCUUAAUGGAACACUUCGAUAAUAUAGUUAGGUCCUUACUUCGUCAAGUUAAUGCAAUCGAACGUCAACAAUGAAGGAAGUGGGUCGUGGCGGUCAGGAAGGAGCACCCCCCACGCUCACCUCAUCCCUCCUGCACCGCCUGCAUAAUGAACGACCCUGGCCUCUGCCCAACCUUGCUUAAGAAUGACCGUGGCGACCUGACCUAAAUCACCCCCACGCACCACCACUUCCACAAACGUCUAUAUAAGUGUGGCCUAUCAAACACCACCUCUCUGUAAGUGUGGUCGCCAUGCAUCAAAAUUAAUCACAUAAUGGUAGCAAAAACAUUAUCUAAUUUACAGUACAGUGUAAUUACUUCCGGAUAACAAUGUGUAUAAAAAAGCUCUGGUAUAUUUCUUUAAUCUUGAUAACGGGAGGAAAAGAAAAGAGAAGAAGAAAAAAAAAGAAAAAAAAACAUUCCCUGGCAUGUAAUGAAAACAAGCAGAACCAUUAACUACUCAAGGAGAACAAUUUACGAUGGCAGAAAAUUUCUCCAAAGAAUUCUCUUAAUAAACUUAGCGAUACGUAUGACAUAUCUUUCCCUUCUCCUUCCUGAUGGCUCUUGUAGCU